ACGAACGCUGGCGGCGUGCCUAAUACAUGCAAGUCGCGCGAAGUUUUUCUGGUGCUUGCACCGGAAAAACUUAGCGGCGAACGGGUGAGUAACACGUAAAGAACCUGCCUCAUAGACUGGGACAACUAUUGGAAACGAUAGCUAAUACCGGAUAACAGCAUUAACUGCAUGGUUGAUGUUUAAAAGUUGGUUUUGCUAACACUAUGAGAUGGCUUUGCCGUGCAUUAGCUAGUUGGUGGGGUAAAGGCCUACCAAGGCGACGAUGCAUAGCCGACCUGAGAGGGUGAUCGGCCACACUGGGACUGAGACACGGCCCAGACUCCUACGGGAGGCAGCAGUAGGGAAUCUUCCGCAAUGGGCGAAAGCCUGACGGAGCAACGCCGCGUGAGUGAAGAAGGAUUUCGGUUCGUAAAGCUCUGUUGUUAGGGAAGAAUGAUUGUGUAGUAACUAUACACAGUAGAGACGGUACCUAACCAGAAAGCCACGGCUAACUACGUG
rnacentral:rRNA from 1 species